rnacentral:rRNA from 1 species
UUNGGAGCUCUCCCNUAUGGUCGACCUGCAGGCGGCCGCGAAUUCACUAGUGAUUAGAGUUUGAUCCUGGCUCAGGAUGAACGCUAGCUACAGGCUUAACACAUGCAAGUCGAGGGGCAGCAUUUUAGUUUGCUUGCAAACUAAAGAUGGCGACCGGCGCACGGGUGAGUAACACGUAUCCAACCUGCCGAUAACUCGGGGAUAGCCUUUCGAAAGAAAGAUUAAUAUCCGAUAGUAUAUUAAAACCGCAUGGUUUUACUAUUAAAGAAUUUCGGUUAUCGAUGGGGAUGCGUUCCAUUAGUUUGUUGGCGGGGUAACGGCCCACCAAGACUACGAUGGAUAGGGGUUCUGAGAGGAAGGUCCCCCACAUUGGAACUGAGACACGGUCCAAACUCCUACGGGAGGCAGCAGUGAGGAAUAUUGGUCAAUGGACGAGAGUCUGAGCCAGCCAAGUAGCGUGAAGGAUGACUGCCCUAUGGGUUGUAAACUUCUUUUAUAUGGGAAUAAAGUAUUCCACGUGUGGGAUUUUGUAUGUACCAUAUGAAUAAGGAUCGGCUAACUCCGUGCCAGCAGCCGCGGUAAUACGGAGGAUCCGAGCGUUAUCCGGAUUUAUUGGGUUUAAAGGGAGCGUAGGUGGAUUGUUAAGUCAGUUGUGAAAGUUUGCGGCUCAACCGUAAAAUUGCAGUUGAAACUGGCAGUCUUGAGUACAGUAGAGGUGGGCGGAAUUCGUGGUGUAGCGGUGAAAUGCUUAGAUAUCACGAAGAACUCCGAUUGCGAAGGCAGCUCACUAGACUGCAACUGACACUGAUGCUCGAAAGUGUGGGUAUCAAACAGGAUUAGAUACCCUGGUAGUCCACACAGUAAACGAUGAAUACUCGCUGUUUGCGAUAUACAGUAAGCGGCCAAGCGAAAGCAUUAAGUAUUCCACCUGGGGAGUACGCCGGCAACGGUGAAACUCAAAGGNANNGACGGGGGNCCGCACAAGCNGA